rnacentral:ncRNA from 1 species
ACCUAUUUGGAUUCAAGAUGUUUUGGAUAGGUGUGUCAUCCCGCUAUCGACCAAGGAUUUCCUGAGAUAGCCAGCGAACGAACUGAACCCGAAAUGACGUAAUAGGUCACGAUGCUACAGCUGCUAGGCAUUGAGUAAGGCCAAAUGAUAAUACGGUUUAGUGUGUGCCACUGAGGAGGAUGUUUUAAGAGUCUGCAAAUGACCUUAGAGCACUAAAGGCACAGCGUAGGG